UGCCUAAACUCGUUGGUUCCCAACGGGCAUGGCACGAAAUCCAUAGCAAUAGAGACGGUCUUCCGACCAGCACUCAUUGCUAUGGUAUGCGCUUGAAAGGGUGCAUGGCUAAUUCCGAAAGGAAAAGGCC
rnacentral:sRNA from 1 species